rnacentral:rRNA from 1 species
UACGUAGGGUGCAAGCGUUACUCGGAUUUAUUGGGCGUAAAGCGCAUGUAGGCGGUUUUGUAAGUUUGAUGUGAAAGCCCUGGACUCAAUUCAGGAACUGCAUUGAAUACUGCAAGACUAGAGUAUGAGAGAGGUAGGCGGAAUUCUUGGUGUAGAGGUGAAAUUCGUAGAUAUCAAGAGGAACAACAGAAGCGAAGGCGGCUUACUGGAUCAUAACUGACGCUGAGAUGCGACAGUGUGGGGAGCAAAC